CUCUGAUAACCUGUGUUUCGAUACGAAACGGGCCCUGCCUCAUUGUUUGUCAUCUCCCUGGAGGUGACGGAGGGCUGUUUCAACCUCAGGGGAAAAGUUGCUGUACAGAACACAGGCCAGAGUGUGCCCCAAAUAAAUCAGGCGGUGGAGUGAUUUAAAAGUGAUCAUUUUCUGUAGUCCUAGCUACUCGGGAGGCUGAGGCAGGAAAAUCACUUGAACCCGGGAGGCGAAGGAUGCAGUGAGCAGAGAUCGUGCCAUUGCACUUCAGCCUGGCGACAGAGCAAGACUCCGUCUCAAAAAGAAAAAAAAAGUGAUCAUUUUCAUGACUUGGACUAGGAAGAUCAACUGGGCACGGUGAUUCUUGCACAGAUUUUUAUAAGGAUCCUCCAAGUGUAACAACCAUUUGGAAAACUCCGGGCCUCGAGGACAGCCAGAGAAGAUAAGUUCAACUUGCACUUUGCCAGAGCAGGGGAUCUCCCUCAGCUCCCUGCCUUCAAACCUACCUUACAGACCUGCCUGGCCUGCACCUGAGCCACCCUCUUCUUCCUUCCUAUUCCCACUAAGGAGGUGUCCCUGCUUCCUUCAUAGUGGGUCCUUCCCCUGCACCGGGAAACAGGCCCUAGAGAUGACUCCAUGGGGUGAAGGACCAGAGCCUCCUUGCCUCUCUCUGUGUCUCUCUCUCCCUCUCUUGUCUUCCCAUGAAGCUCUGAUGUUUCCAGUACAAAAGAAACCUCGCUCAGUCCCAGUCCUUCUCCAGCUCCUCCCCUCACAAGCAUGGCCCCCCACUGCCGGCUUUCCUUCCCCACCUUCCACCCUCUCCUUGGCCUUCUCCACUCUGGCUUCAGUGGCCUCCGAUGGCUACACUCAGAGCCUGGGUGCACUGUCCUUUGGAAGCUCCCCUCUGGGGCCGCCUGUCAGCCUCCUCUGAAGACUCACGCUCC
rnacentral:antisense_RNA from 1 species